AGCAGGCUGAGGGGGAUCAGGGAGGCAGAGGAUGAAAUUGAUAGUUAUUUCCUUUCCCUGCAGGCCCAGGCACCAAAGGAAGAAGCACCCUGGGGAAUACCCUCCACAGCAGAGUGGCAGAUGGUCACAGCCAGGACCGGAGCGGCACGCAGCGAACCGGUACCAGCUUCUCCAGUCCGACUGGUGAACAGAUCAAGAGAUCCACGAUGACCCAGAGGAGGAGGCGACGAGUGCUCGUCAUAGGAGACUCCAUCCUGAGAGGUACAGAAGGACCCAUCUGUCGCCAGGACCCCUCGGCACGAGAGUGACCGGACGAGGAAGACGGCAGGAGAACUGCAUCAGAGAGACCAACUGGCGGCUUCGGCAGUGGUGUCUCGAGGCAGGCUUCGGCUUCCUGGACAAUGACCCGCACAUCACGACGAGGGACAUGCUCAGCUGGGAUGGGCUUCACCUGUCCCCCAAAGGUAAGUGUGUGUUUUCUUCUAGGUUGGCGGAUCUCCUCCGGCGGGCUUUAAACUAGGCUCGUCGGGGGGAGGGGAGUACGAGGGCAGGGGAAGCUGUGGACCACCAAACCAUGUGGCACCCACAAGGACAGCCCAGCCUGAAGAAGGAGAACAUUGGGAACCUGAAAGCCAUGGGGAGGCCAGCACUACAGAACAGGUAAGGAACAAGAAGGUAAGAAACAAUGGGCCCCAUGGGACUGGGAGCGGGGGGGCAGCAAAGGCACCAGUCGCAGGGCUCAAGUGCCUAUAUACUACUGCUAGGAGCAUGGGGAACAAGCAGGAUGAACUAGCGCUCCUGCUUGCACUAAACACCUAUGACUUAGUGGGGCUAACAGAGACCUGGUGGGAUUCAUCCCACGACUGGGCGGUACAUAUUGAGGGCUAUAGAUUGCAUAGAAAGGACAGGUCGGGGAAGAAAGGGGGGGGGGGUUGCACUUUAUGUCAGUGAGCAAUACACAUCAACCCUCAUCAAGACAG